rnacentral:rRNA from 1 species
GACGGAGGAUGCAAGUGUUAUCCGGAAUCACUGGGCGUAAAGCGUCUGUAGGUGGUUCGAAAAGUCCACUGUUAAAAAUUGAGGCUUAACUUCAAAGAUGCCGUGGAAACUUUCAAACUAGAGUAUGGUAGGGGUAGAGGGAAUUUCCAGUGGAGCGGUGAAAUGCGUAGAUAUUGGAAAGACCACCGAUGGCGAAGGCACUCUACUGGGCCAUUACUGACGCUGAGGCGCGAAAGCGUGGGGAGCAAACAGG